rnacentral:tRNA from 1 species
UCCCCGGUGGCGCAGUGGUAGCGCAACUGACUGUUAAUCAGUGUGUCGUAGGUUCGAACCCUACCCGGGGAGCCA